rnacentral:rRNA from 1 species
CCCUUAGAUGUCCGGGGCUGCACGCGCGCUACACUGAAGGAAUCAGCGUGCUAAAACCAUUGUCGAAAGGCAUUGGUAAACCCAUUAAAAUCCUACGUGAUUGGGAUCGGGAAUUGCAAUUAUUUCCCUUGAACGAGGAAUUCCCAGUAAGUGUGGGUCAUAAGCUCGCGUUGAUUACGUCCCUGCCCUUUGUACACACCGCCCGUCGCUGCCCGGGACUGAGCCGUUUCGAGAAAAGCGGGGACUGCUGCUGUCGGGGCUUUCGGGCCUUGGCUUCGGUGGAGACCGCUUUAAUCGCAGUGGCUUGAACCGGGCAAAAGUCGUAACA